CGACUGUCAAUUGCUCGUGAAGACAAAUCCAGAAUUUAGCAUUACCAGAGGGAGAAACUGAGGUCUGCAGAGAUAAGAAUAGCCACUGACAACAAAGGAUUUUCAAAUGCAGGUCUGUCUAAUUUAAAAUCUUUCCCUUUCUGUAUCUUAGUA
rnacentral:lncRNA from 1 species